rnacentral:rRNA from 1 species
UACAGAGGUCUCAAGCGUUGUUCGGAUUCAUUGGGCGUAAAGGGUGCGUAGGUGGUAGUGUAAGUCGGAUGUGAAAUCUUGAGGCUUAACCUCAAAACUGCAUUCGAUACUAUAUUACUAGAGGAUUGGAAAGGAGAUUGGAAUUCACGGUGUAGCAGUGAAAUGCGUAGAUAUCGUGAGGAACACCAGUGGCGAAAGCGGAUCUCUAGACAAUUCCUGACACUGAGGCACGAAGGCCAGGGGAGCAAACGGG